CGAGAAAGUGGAGCAAUCCAUGAGUAAAGUGGCGACCGGGUGAGUAACACGUGACUAACCUACCUUCGAGUGGGGGAUAACCUCGGGAAACCGAGGCUAAUACCGCAUAACAUCGCAAGAUCAAAGCAGCAAUGCGCUGGAAGAGGGGGUCGCGGCUGAUUAGCUAGUUGGCGGGGUAACGGCCCACCAAGGCGAAGAUCGGUAUCCGGCCUGAGAGGGCGCACGGACACACUGGAACUGAAACACGGUCCAGACUCCUACGGGAGGCAGCAGUGGGGAAUUUUGCGCAAUGGGGGAAACCCUGACGCAGCAACGCCGCGUGGAAGAUGAAGCCCCUUGGGGCGUAAACUCCUUUCGACCAAAACGAAAAUGACGGUACUGGUGGAAGAAGCACCGGCUAACUCUGUGCCAGCAGCCGCGGUAAUACAGAAGGUGCGAGCGUUGUUCGGAAUUAUUGGGCGUAAAGGGCGCGUAAGCGGUGCCACAAGUCACUUGUGAAAUCUCCGGGCUUAACUCGGAACCUGCAAGCGAAACUGUGGUGCUGGAAUAUGGGAAAAGUGCGUGGAAUUCCCGGUGUAACGGUGAAAUGCGUAAAUAUCCGGAAGAACACCUGUGGCGAAAGCCGCGCACUGGACCAUAACUG
rnacentral:rRNA from 1 species